GGGGUAAACCUGCGAAACUCGAAUGAACGAACGGAGAGAUUCAUCGUCAUUCCGCGGCGUACGGGUGCGCGUUUCGAUGUCUUCGACCUCGGUCGUGGGCACGUCGCGUACACGUCGACGUCCGUGGACGGCGUGCACUUCUCUCUCAGUAACACAUGCAUCGCGACCCGUUCGAUGUCGGUCUAAGCGCCGUCCGGGAGCCCCGCUGUCCCUUCACGGGGGCGACGGGACCGCUGAUGGACGCCGACCGGCCGUCGGACGGUAUAAUAUAUGACACGCGCACGCGUUUAACGCGUCCGGCCCGACGCAAGUCAACGUCGUAUCCGACGUUCCGCCCGAGUGCGGACGUAGGUGCGGCGCGUCUGUUGUCGCCGCCGUGCAGUCUCGGACUGUGCGCGUCUCCGUCUGCGAUGAUUCAGUUUCGGGCACUCGCAGGACCCGUCUUGAAACACGGACCAAGGAGUCUAGCAUGUAUGCGAGUCAUUGAGAUUAUUUCAUUAAACUGAAAGGCGUAACGAAAGUGAAGGCGCGCGCUUGUCGCGUGCUCAGGGAGGAUGGAGCGUCGAUCUAGGUCGAUCUCUCGCACUCCCGAGGCGUCUCGUUUCCAAUCUGUGAAUGUAGGCGCGCUC
rnacentral:rRNA from 2 species